rnacentral:rRNA from 1 species
AACGAACGCUGGCGGCAUGCCUAACACAUGCAAGUCGAACGAAGUGGCGCACGGGUGCGUAACGCGUGGGAAUCUGCCCUUAGGUUCGGACUACCCGCUGGAAACGGCUGCUAAUACCGAAUGCCUGAGGAUGUGCCCGCGUUGGAUUAGGUAGUUGGUUGGGUAAAGGCCUACCAAGCCGACGAUCCAUAGCUGGUCUGGGAGGAUGAGCAGCCACACUGGGACUGAGACACGGCCCAGACUCUUACGGGAUGCAGCAGGGGGGAAUAUUGGACAAUGGGCGAAAGCCUGAUCCAGUAAGGCCGCGUGAGUGAUGAAGGCCGUAGGGUUGUAAAGCUCUUUUACCCGGGAAGCUGUACCUGGAGAAUAAGCCCCGGCUAACUCCGUGCCAGCAGCCGCGGUAAUUC